GAGAACUAAUAACUUGAAAGGUAGAAUGAUUGGGUAACGCCAUGAAAUGCCUUCCUUAAUACUCCGAAUAGCGUCUUUAUAGUUAAUUGUGAAGAUGUUAUAAGCUCGGUGAAGUCGGCUGAGAGUAUACCCUAACCCCAUAAAUACACGGGAGAGGAAAAGCGAACCAGAGGUGGUCGAGUAUAUGAUAGGUCGGAGGUCUAUAAA
rfam:Clostridium roseum strain DSM 7320 CROST_contig000045, whole genome shotgun sequence.